GCAAUAAAGAAACAUUGAGGGCUGAUUUAACAAUCCUCUGGGAUGGAUCUUGUCACCAGGAGCUGUCAUGAAUUGGAUGUGUUUCCCCAGAGUGUUAAAUAUGGCUGAAUGUUGAACUUAGAGCUGCACGGUAUGUUGGAGGGGGUCUUGAUGGCCUGUGACCUUGCCUUUAUCUGUCGGUCUGUCACCACUGGUCUUCAAAGUGCAGCUUAAAGGAUCUGAGGCUUCUGUGUGGCCUUGAUGUGAU